UACAGAGGGUGCAAGCGUUAAUCGGAAUUACUGGGCGUAAAGCGUGCGUAGACGGUAGCGUAAGUCGGGUGUGAAAGCCCCGGGCUCAACCCGGGAAUUGCAUUCGAGACUGCUCUGCUAGGGUGCGGAAGAGGGAAGCGGAAUUUCCGGUGUAGCGGUGAAAUGCGUAGAUAUCGGAAGGAACACCAGUGGCGAAAGCGGCUUCCUGGUCCAGCACCGACGUUCAGGCACGAAAGCGUGGGGAGCAAACAGG
rnacentral:rRNA from 1 species